UGGAGAAGGGAAAAGUGUGGGUAGCUUUGAGAUUCGAUUCAAUCAUGAACAAUGAUUUGCAAGCAAACCCUCUUGUACCCAAAAUCACAAUGGUUGGCAUCUCAAUGAGCGAAGGGGGACAUAUGAGCAAAGCGAACCUAAUGAAAAUAAAG